GAUGAACGCUGGCGGCGUGCCUAAUACAUGCAAGUCGAGCGAACAGACGAGGAGCUUGCUCCUCUGACGUUAGCGGCGGACGGGUGAGUAACACGUGGAUAACCUACCUAUAAGACUGGGAUAACUUCGGGAAACCGGAGCUAAUACCGGAUAAUAUAUUGAACCGCAUGGUUCAAUAGUGAAAGACGGUUUUGCUGUCGCUUAUAGGUGGAUCCGCGCCGCAUUAGCUAGUUGGUAAGGUAACGGCUUACCAAGGCAACGAUGCGUAGCCGACCUGAGAGGGUGAUCGGCCACACUGGAACUGAGACACGGUCCAGACUCCUACGGGAGGCAGCAGUAGGGAAUCUUCCGCAAAGGGCGAAAGCCUGACGGAGCAACGCCGCGUGAGUGAUGAAGGUCUUCGGAUCGUAAAACUCUGUUAUUAGGGAAGAACAAAUGUGUAAGUAACUAUGCACGUCUUGACGGUACCUAAUCAGAAAGCCACGGCUAACUACGUG
rnacentral:rRNA from 1 species